rnacentral:misc_RNA from 1 species
GAAAUGCGAUAAGUAGUGUGAAUUGCAGAAUUCAGUGAAUCAUCGAAUCUUUGAACGCACAUUGCGCCCCUUGGUAUUCCAUGGGGCAUGCCUGUUCGAGCGUCAUUUGUACCCUCAAGCUUUGCUUGGUGUUGGGCGUCUUGUCGGAAUAUCCGACUCGCCUUAAAUACAUUGGCAGCCGGCACUUUGGCUUAGGAGCGCAGCACAUUUUGCGAUCGUAAGCCGUUGUGAAAGCAUCCAUAAGAUUUAUUUUACCACGUUUGACCUCGGAUCAGGUAGGGAUACCCGCUGAACUUAAGC